rnacentral:lncRNA from 1 species
GAUCAUACACAACUGUAGCUCAAUCGAUAUCCAGAUCAUAUAAGAGAGUAUACAAAGCAUCUAUGGAAUGAACUACUCUCAUUCGACUCGCCCCCGUACCUUCAAAUUCAUUGGGUAGUAGAUGAGCAGUCUCUGGAACCUCUCUAUCAGUGAGAAUUACUAUGCAUAUCCCUGGAUGGUAUGCCCUUUGUGGAGGUUACCGGAAGUGGUCUGAUAUUGGUUAAGAAGUAGAUGGUUGAGGUUCCCUCAUAUGCUCAUUCUCAGGAAUAGAGUUUCCAUAUUGCUACUCCCCCUCGGAGGUAGGAUCUUCAGGCUUUACGAUUGGGGAGUCAUAAUCCCUAGUUUUUCUUUUAUGAUAGUAGAGAUGACAUGAGUCAAUCGUAGGGAAACAUCCAAAGAAUUUGAAGAUCUUUAAGCUGAGGCAUCCUUAUGUUUAU